rnacentral:lncRNA from 1 species
UUUUUUUUUUUUAAUAGUUUGAUAGUGACAACAGCAAACUGACUGACGUAUAUCUGAGAUGGUCAGAGGAGUGCAGCUUAAAUUCCGAAGAGACCUAAGACUUUCAAGAAACGCAAGUGUUUCAAGCAGCUGAAGUAAAAGCUGAUGUAUCGUAUACUGAAGCAAAGGCUGCUAUUUGGCCGAUUCCACCUAUAUGUUAAAAAGAAGAUAAUCAAGUUUUCAUGUACAAGUUAAUUUAUGAUUGAAAAAUGAUUAAUGCUGUAAUUGAAAAAUGUUUAAUUCCCUGAACGUUUCACAUCCAAAUCCCUGUGCCAAAAUAUAAAUGGUCCAGAGCAAAAUUUUUUUCUCAUUACCAUCCACUUCCUUAGCCCCAUCACAAGCACCUUAUGUUUAUGUUUGUCUUUUAAAGUCAGGCUUCGGAGGAAAAAGAAUUUUUGAUAU